GCUGUACUCUUGCAACUACCAUUUAUAUUUUCGAAGUAUCUCUACAUCAGGCAUCAUGUACUUGUUCAACUUGAUUCUCCUGCUUCUAAUGUGUACACUCUGUGGGGCUUUGUUCAAGUGUGGACUAGGAUACAGCUCUACCGGUUACCAAAGACAUCAUGGGAAGGUAGAUCAACCUUGCAUUUUCUGCGUUAUAAACGGAUGGGGUCAUCCACCAGGUACGCUGCUCAAAUACAAUACAUGUAAACGAGGCCUCGGAUGUAAAGAAGUCUGGACAGAACGUGAACAAGGCGGAAACAAAUACAGAGAUCUUCAGCUAAUUUGUAAAGAAAAAAGCGACAGUGAAACUAACCAGUAAAUAGUACACAUGAUUCCGAAAUUUGAAAACAUAUUUUUUCGUGUUGGUUCAAAAACAUGUACAAUUGAGUUGUGUCAGAUUAUUUAUUAAAACUAGUGUCAAGCUGGA